ensembl:lncRNA
GGCUGUCUAUCAGGUGGGCGGGGCAGGCGGAGGAGAUGCCACCCCAGCCCCCAGCCCCCCAGCGCAGGCGGGAGGGAGAAGCUGCAGAGUGGCUUGCGCUCCCCAGCCCCACCCCGCGAGGGCCCUCGGGCAGGCCCCACCUCCUGCAGCAGUCACGUGGGGGGGGCGCCCCACGGUGCCUUCCGGAAGCCCUGCUUGUGAUCCGGGAGACUUGGGGAAGCUCCCGUUCAGCCCCUGGCAUUCGGCCUUGGUCUUGCUAUGCAUGCAGCAAAGUGUAUUUUCGUGGACGUUUGUUGAGGAAAAAUCUUCAAAUUCCAAUCAGCCCUGAGAUGCUGGAGAGAAUCCCGGUGCUCCGAAGCCUACGAGAGCGAGAGAGGCGGGCUGGGAAGGACGUCAGCCUGUGGGCCGAUCUCCCGCACCCGGCACCCCUGUGCACCGUCGUGGGACCCCAGCUCGCACCCCGGCCAGGGUUGAGUGUCCCGGGGGCAGCCUCUGGCAGGAUGGGCAGCCCCCAGCAGCGGAGCCACGCUGGACAGACACAGGCCCUCCGCCACCGGCGUCUCUGACAGGACACUGCCGCCCUGUCCAUGGCUGUGCACACAGUGAGUGCGGAGCGGCUGCAGGCUCCUCGGUUGGCUGCGCACAACGGCGGCCUCUGUGCCCGGCCCAGCCACACUGUGCAGAAGGGGCCCGCACUCUGUGCCCAGGGCGCAGGCCGGGCGGCAACCUCAGGACGCAGGCGCCCUCUGGCCCGCGCCCCCCAGGCCCUGGCCACCCCCCAGGUGCUCUUCACCCCACUUUCCCGUUUUCCCACAGUGACCGCUGUGCCCGAGGGUGUCCAGGAGUCCUGGGCAUUGGAUAGCAGAGGCGGACACAUGGCCCUCACCCCACAUCCCAGCUCCCGUGUCCAGCCUGCCCAAGGCCAGCUCAGCCCUCAGUUGGGAGGCACAGCGCUAGGUGGCCACUCCUGGCGCUGGGGAGCCAGGCUGCUGGGUCCCCUCACUCGGGACCAGGACAAUCCAGAUUGCUGGGCAGGUAGCCGGAAGCGGUCUGUCACUUUAUAUCUGUGGAGGUGGUACCAGAAAACUAGAAAUGGCCCCAAACGUGUCCACCCUCAGAUCUCCCACUGCCCCUUGCUUCCUCGAGGGGCAGCUCUUGUCCACACCAGGCAGGAGUCCCGGCCACAGAUGUGAUGGCAGGCUCCCAGGCACUCAGCAUCAUGAGGCACACUUCACGUGAGGGUGAUGUGGGGCAUGGGGGGAGCUCCCACGGGCACGGGGUCCCAUCCUGAGUGGGGAGCAGUGUUGCCACGGGACGACACCACCUGCAGAAGCUGCAGCUGUGGACCCUAGAAGUGUACCUUCAGCUCCACGGGGGAGUGCAGAGUCUGGUCCACUGCCCCCUCCUGAGUGGUGCCGGGUCAGGGUGGCCAGGGGUGCACCUUCCUCCUCAUCCUCAGGCCCAGCUGGUCACCUCCACUUGAAUUUUCCUAUGUGCCAGGGGGUGGCACAGGUCUGUCAUCCCAGCACUCUGGGAGGCUGGGGCAGGAGGAUCGUGAGUUUGAGCAGCUUCGUGAGACCCUGUCUCAAAAUAAAAAAGGUAAAAAAGAUUUGGGUUGGAGCUC